UAGUUCGCAUUCACUGGUCGCCCACCGUUCGCCGGUCGCCGUUCGCCGGUCACCGUUCGCUGUCCCCGUGCCGUUCCUUCCUUUCUCUCUUUUACGAGUGCGAACCCUAAUCCCCUUCCAAUGACUUUUUCUUCUCUUCAAAUUCAACACCGAUAAGGAACUUAGACUAAUUAGAAGCAUUAUCUAAGAAGCUAAAAUCCAAGACACUAAGGACCGAGGCUCCUUCACAAUCGAUAGCUACAACAAGGCUCCUUGCUCGUGAGGGGAUAAAUGCAGAGCAACUUGCAAGGGACCUGAAGU